GUCUAUAGGGAUACCACCAAGACAAUACUAAAUCUCAACUGAUCUCAGAAGCUAAGCUGUGUUGGGCCUGGUUAGUACUUGGAUGGAAGAUGGCUAGGAAUACCAAGUACCACC
rnacentral:rRNA from 1 species